rnacentral:rRNA from 1 species
AUUGAACGCUGGCGGCAUGCCUUACACAUGCAAGUCGAACGGUAACGGGCCUUCGGGUGCCGACGAGUGGCGAGCGGGUGAGUAAUACAUCGGAACGUGCCCGAUCGUGGGGGAUAACGAGGCGAAAGCUUUGCUAAUACCGCAUACGAUCUACGGAUGAAAGCAGGGGACCGCAAGGCCUUGCGCGGACGGAGCGGCCGAUGGCAGAUUAGGUAGUUGGUGGGAUAAAAGCUUACCAAGCCGACGAUCUGUAGCUGGUCUGAGAGGAUGAUCAGCCACACUGGGACUGAGACACGGCCCAGACUCCUACGGGAGGCAGCAGUGGGGAAUUUUGGACAAUGGGCGCAAGCCUGAUCCAGCCAUGCCGCGUGCAGGAUGAAGGCCUUCGGGUUGUAAACUGCUUUUGUACGGAACGAAAAGCCUUCUUUUAAUACAGGAGGGUCAUGACGGUACCGUAAGAAUAAGCACCGGCUAACUACGU